rnacentral:rRNA from 1 species
UACAGAGGGUGCGAGCGUUGUCCGGAAUCACUGGGCGUAAAGGGCGCGUAGGCGGUCGUGACAAGUCACUUGUGAAAUCUCCGGGCUUAACUCGGAACGGUCAAGUGAUACUGUCGGACUAGAGUACAGAAGGGGCAACUGGAAUUCUCGGUGUAGCGGUGAAAUGCGUAGAUAUCGAGAGGAACACCUGCGGCGAAGGCGGGUUGCUGGGCUGACACUGACGCUGAAGUGCGAAAGCUAGGGGAGCGAACGGG